rnacentral:rRNA from 1 species
ACACUCCUACGGGAGGCAGCAGUGGGGAAUUUUGGACAAUGGGCGAAAGCCUGAUCCAGCCAUGCCGCGUGCAGGAUGAAGGCCUUCGGGUUGUAAACUGCUUUUGUACGGAACGAAACGGCCUUUUCUAAUAAAGAGGGCUAAUGACGGUACCGUAAGAAUAAGCACCGGCUAACUACGUGCCAGCAGCCGCGGUAAUACGUAGGGUGCAAGCGUUAAUCGGAAUUACUGGGCGUAAAGCGUGCGCAGGCGGUUAUGUAAGACAGUUGUGAAAUCCCCGGGCUCAACCUGGGAACUGCAUCUGUGACUGCAUAGCUAGAGUACGGUAGAGGGGGAUGGAAUUCCGCGUGUAGCAGUGAAAUGCGUAGAUAUGCGGAGGAACACCGAUGGCGAAGGCAAUCCCCUGGACCUGUACUGACGCUCAUGCACGAAAGCGUGGGGAGCAAACAGGAUUAGAAACCCGAGUAGUCCCA